ensembl:lncRNA
GUGCCUGUCUGUGCCUGUGUAUCCCGACAAUAAACCAAAUCCUCUUGCUGAUUGCAUCCUGUGGUGUCUCGGUCUGGUCUUUGGAGUUAGAGGGUCUCCAUCCCGAGGGAAAGUUCUCCCUGAGAGCUUUUCAUUUGGUGCGUUGGCCGGGAAAGGAGAUCCUCCACCCAGGGACCACCGACCACCCACUGGGAGGUAAGCCGGCCGGCGUCUGUCUGUCUGUCUGAUUUUGUCUCGUUCUGCCUUAUUCUGUCUGUUCUGUGAGCGCUCAGCCAGGUCUGUUCUGUGAGCGCUCAGCCAGGUUCUGUGAGCGCUCAGCCAGGUCUGUUCUGUGAGCGCUCAGCCAGGUUCUGUGAGCGCUCAGCCAGGUCUGUUCUGUGAGCGCUCAGCCAGGUUGUUUGGAAUUUGGGCGGGACGAAGAAGGAGCUGACGAGCUCGGACUUCUCGCCCCGCAGCCCUGGAAGACGUUCCAAGGGUGUUGGGGCCCGACUUUUCGGGGCCCAAUCUGGGAGAGGAGAAAGAUCCGGACUAACGGCACCUCUGUCUGUAUUUUUGGCUUUCAGAGGGCCCCGGACCUUUGCCACCUCCAUCUGACUUUUUGCUUUCAGUUUGGUACCAAAGCCGUGCAGCACGCCUCUCUGUUGUUUGUUUGACUGUUGGUGUUGUUUGUUUUCUCUGUGUUCUAAUCUUCCUUAGAACUAACAUGGGAC